UGCCAGCAGCCGCGGUAAUACGUAGGGUGCGAGCGUUAAUCGGAAUUACUGGGCGUAAAGCGUGCGCAGGCGGUUUUGUAAGUCAGAUGUGAAAGCCCCGGGCUCAACCUGGGAACUGCGUUUGAAACUACAAGGCUAGAGUGUAGCAGAGGGGGGUAGAAUUCCACGUGUAGCAGUGAAAUGCGUAGAGAUGUGGAGGAAUACCAAUGGCGAAGGCAGCCCCCUGGGUUAACACUGACGCUCAUGCACGAAAGCGUGGGGAGCAAACAGGAUUAGAUACCCUGGUAGUCCACGCCCUAAACGAUGUCUACUAGUUGUUGGGAGAGUAAAAUCUCUUAGUAACGCAGCUAACGCGUGAAGUAGACCGCCUGGGGAGUACGGUCGCAAGAUUAAAACUCAAAG
rnacentral:rRNA from 1 species